rnacentral:misc_RNA from 1 species
GAUGAAGAACGUAGCGAAAUGCGAUAAGUAAUGUGAAUUGCAGAAUUCAGUGAAUCAUCGAAUCUUUGAACGCACAUUGCGCCCGCCAGUAUUCUGGCGGGCAUGCCUGUUCGAGCGUCAUUACAACCCUCAGGCCCCCGGGCCUGGCGUUGGGGAUCGGCGGAGCCCCCCGUGGGCACACGCCGUCCCCCAAAUACAGUGGCGGUCCCGCCGCAGCUUCCAUCGCGUAGUAGCUAACACCUCGCAACAGGAGCCCGGCGCGGUCCACUGCCGUAAAACCCCCCAACUUUUUAUAGUUGACCUCGAAUCAGGUAGGACUACCCGCUGAACUUAAGCAUAUCAAUAAGCGGAGGA